AUUAAGUCCAAUUCACUGUUAUCUGAAGUAUGGGAUGGAUGCAAUGCAGUUAAUCAGUUAAUCUCCUAACUCGUCGCCACCCAUCUAUAAUAUCAUUUAUUCUCCACCCACUUCCAUCUGACAGGUGUCCCACCUACUUCCCAGUCUUUCCCUGUGACUUUCAGCUUCCCUUUCCAGUUAACAGCCAAGAAGUUUCCUUCCCUCCUCCAAACACAACCACUCAACCUUGGCUCAAGCUGGUAUUUUGAGCUUUGAGUGAGGGGAACCUGCGGAACCUAAGAAGUGCUCUGCUGGGUCUGGCCAAUGGCCUGUCUAGUCCAGCAUCCGGUUCUGACGGUGGCCAAUCAGAUGCCUCCAGGAAACUGGUGGCCAGGUGUCAGGUGGCAGAGGAAGCAACUCCCAUGGCCGGUUCCCAGGGACAUAUAAGGCAAGGAAAAGUUCUUACCAUCUGCUUUUUAUUCAAUAUUUACAGAAUGCAGCCUAUUGGAAUAAUGACAUUGUCCCGAGUGAAAACUGCCCUCUGCCUUUGAGCUCUUUGCUCUCCUACUUUCAAGGCUCGCUGGGUUCUGGGAGAGAGGGGGUUGGGUCUGGAAUGAUUUCUAAAGACACUGUGUCCAUCAGCUGUCACCCCCUGGUGAGUCCUCCUCCUCCUCUCCCAUUAUUUCCCAGCUUUUCCCCUCAUCCGCCUCUGAGCUGAGACCUCCCUCAAUCCCCUGUUGUAGUUCUGAACUGUCUUCUUCUUCUCUGGAAAGGUCACACUUGGGGAGGCAGUCUCCACCAUUCCUCCUCUGCUCAGUCCCUGACAGCAGGGCAUGAAGGCAAUAGGGCUCCCUCUCUGUUACUCACAAGAACCCAAGAAGGCCCAUCUAGUCCAGCUCAAUGUUCUCUCAUGCCUCUGGGAAGCCACCAGAAUCACAACUCCUCUUUAGUGUCCUUCCCCUGUGCCUUCUCCAGAGUGACCCUAGGAGCUGAUCCUCAGGGGCUGACUCACCUGAUUGGUUCCAAUCAGCAGAAAGGUGAGAAGGCCUCUUCUCAGUGGAUAGAAAGCUCCCCUUUCCUGCUGCUUGAGUGGCUCUAAGAAACUGGAAACAGGGACCGGGCCACAGAAAUCACAAUGGGUCCUCAGCCCCUAGACUACUGCACCUCUGCCUUCCAUUCUCAAUGGGCACCAGCCACCUACUGGAUACCUCUGUACUUUCAGUGGUGAGAAGAAACUGGAUUUCCACCAUGACUGUUUAACCUACUGUGAGUCAUCUGCUUACAUGACGGCUGCCAUUGCCAUAACCUUGGCUGCAUCAAGCCUGUCAAUCGGCAGGUUGGGGGGAUGUCAUAAUUUGGGGAAGCCCAAUAUCCUCCCCUUUCAUUGAGGUGUUCCUUGGACAACAUUCCUGCAGGCUUUCACACUUACUUAUAUAAGCCUGGUAAUUGGAAUGGCUUUGGUUUGUGGGGGUGGCCAAGGGAUGAGUGAAUUCAGUCGCCUGUUAAAUGCUUGCUGCAAUUUGUGCUGUUGUUUUUCAACCAAGAGGCUAAGAACAACAACCAUGAAAUAACUCAGCAAGGAUUUGCAGGGCUUGGCAUCACUGGGGAGGACAGUGGCAUGUUUCCUACUGGCCUUUUUUGAUCCUGCUCUGGCUGACUUCUUGGCUGAGGGAGUUGCCUAAAUUGGCAAGAUGAGUAAGGCAAGCAACGCCCCAUGGCAAUGGAAGAAAACAACCAUCCAGUUGAACGACAUGGAAACUUGGGAAGCAGCCAUAUUCUGAGUUAGACCAUUGGUCCAUCUAGCUCAGUAUUGUGUACACUGACUGGCAGAAUCUCUGCAGUGUUUCAGACAGGCUUCUGAAGAUGCUGAGAGUUAAAUUUAGGACCUUCCCCAUGAAUGGAGAACUUCAGACCUCCAGAUGUUGUUGAGCUACAACUCUUCUUACCUAUGACCAUGCUUCAUGGGGCUGAUGGGAAUGAGGAACAUCUGGAGGGCCACGGGUACCCCAUGCCUAACCACCUUUGGACCACAACUCCCAUAAUCUCUGACCAUGGACUAAGCUGUCUGAGGAUAAAAGGAAUUGUAGUUCAACUACAACCUACGGUUGAAGAACACUGGUCUACACUGACUGUGGGUCUCCAGGAUUUCAGAGUGGUCCUGCUAGCUUUUUUACUGGGAAUUUUAGAGAUCCAUUCUGAGAUUUUAAGCAUGCAAAUGUGAUUUCCAAGGCUUGGAAUGAAGAUCCCUGAACUAGUUACUGUAUAAAACAAACACACCUUAAAUUAGACCCCAAAGUGGUUUUGAUAAUUCUCUGCUGAAGUAAAUGUGAAUUAAGUUUAUUUUGGGGUAGAACUUAAAACAAUUUCUAGUUCAUAUUCAUCUCUCCUCACUCCCACCCACAAUGCAGGAGGCCCAGAAUAUUUGCUUGCUUGCUUUUUUUAAAGGAAAAACUUGGUAUUUAUAAAGAAAGUAAGAAAGCAAACGGUGAAGGCAAUGUUCUAUGGCUUCUUAGGCAGAUACAAUGGCAUUGCUGCUGCUAAGGAUACUUAGUCACUUAGCCGCUUUUGCCAAGUAACUAAAAGGAAGGAAUGUGAGGCAUUUCCUCUGUUUUCUUUCUCCUUUCCAACAGGAGCAGCUUGCAGCGAGAAGCACAAAAACAAAGUGACAGAUGCCUUGGAUGGAAUAAAUUCAGCCGGAUUCUAAGACAGGGGAGUGGCGUCUGAUUCCUGAUCAUUCUAAGGUGCUCCGGGAGAAUUUGUUUAGCCGAAGAACAAGAUGCAAAUAGAAAUGAAUUCCUUUCUUUGGUAA